AUUCCAGCUCCAAUGGCGUAUAUUAAAGUUGUUGCAGUUAAAAAGCUCGUAGUUGGAUUUCUGGCGGGAGCGACCGGUCGGCCCUUGUGGUGUGUACUAGCGUUGCGUCCGGCCAUAUUUGCGGAGAGCGUGUGUGGCAUUAAUUUGUCGUGCACGGGACCCGCAUCGUUUACUGUGAGAAAAUUAGAGUGUUCAAAGCAGGCUUAUGCCUUGGAUAUGUUAGCAUGGAAUAAUAAGAUAAGACUUUGGCGGUCUAUUUUGUUGGUUUGCACGCCAUUGUAAUGAUUGAUAGGGACAGUUGGGGGUAUUCAUAUUUAAUUGUCAGAGGUGAAAUUCUUGGAUUUAUGAAAGAUGAACUACUGCGAAAGCAUUUACCAAGGAUGUUUUCAUCA
rnacentral:rRNA from 1 species